GGGGGCAUAGCUCAGCUGGGAGAGCGCCUGCUUUGCAAGCAGGAGGUCAAGAGUUCGAUCCUCUUUGUCUCCACCA
rnacentral:tRNA from 1 species